UACGUAGGGGGCAAGCGUUAUCCGGAUUUACUGGGUGUAAAGGGAGCGUAGACGGUAUGGUAAGUCAGAUGUGAAAGCCCGGGGCUCAACCCCGGGACUGCAUUUGAAACUAUCAAACUGGAGUGCAGGAGAGGUAAGUGGAAUUCCUAGUGUAGCGGUGAAAUGCGUAGAUAUUAGGAGGAACACCAGUGGCGAAGGCGGCUUACUGGACUGUAACUGACGUUGAGGCUCGAAAGCGUGGGGAGCAAACAGGAUUAGAUACCCCGGUAGUCCCUGAGCGGG
rnacentral:rRNA from 1 species